UCAUUCUAAGUUUUGAGAGCUUCCCUAUUUUUGGAGUGUGAUAGUUUGAUUUCGUCUUUCAAAUUAAGGGUGGUUUAUGAUUUGAACUUUGAUUUAUGAAUGCUUUAGAUUAACAAGGGAUGUAUUUGUCUACCAUUACUCCACAAUAUCAGAUCAAUUUGGUUUAAUUUAUAGUAUGCAAUAUGACAAUAAUGUUUUCAAAACAAGAUGUUCGGGCGUUGCGAUACAUUUUAAGUAACAAUUGGUAUGUUCUGUUUUUUAAUCAAGGAGGAUCCAAGUGAAGCUACAGGAGUUUCAGCAACGUCAAAAACUGGGACCGAACAGUUUGUUUUGCUUGAUGAGGAACAGGAAGGGCAGCCUCUCCCAAAGAGAAGGAGACCUGGAGAGAAACAGAAGCCGGGUUUAAGCCACUGCCACCAUCCACAUACAUCGAGGAAGAUGAGGGAGAGAAAUUCUCCUACCAUUAAAGAGGGCGAUACACUCAAAGACUUUUUCAGUGGACAUUGCUGAUCUAGUUGAAAGUGGGUACUGGCCAGCAACAGUCAAUUUUAAAACCUUGUAUGCAGUGGAUUGGUUCACUAAAUAUGAGGAUCUCAAGAUUGCGGCUCUGGGAAUGUCACGGCAAGCUUUUGUUAGCAUGCCUGAACAUCGCACAAAAGUCUUAGCAGAUUAAGAUAUGUGGGGAUACCAUGCAGAAUGCAUUACUGGAAUAGACCUAUGCCAAAUUUGAAGUUGAGAGGCUGUCUCAGGUGCAGCAUUCAGUGCCCUGCGUGCACACCCUCCAUGUUGGCUUUUGCAGUGGAUGGGAUCCGUAAACUAUACGGCUUUAAGAGCCAACCAGGGAUUCUGAGGUGUCUUCCUUGGUUGACUACAUCCAUGAGACGACAAAACACACUGUGCAAAGGACCUUGAGAACAUCACCACUCUACAGGAAGACACAGUCCAGUAAUGGGUGUCAGAUGUUCAGCAGUGGACGACAGGACCAACCAAUCAAAAUGACUUGCAGAACGCCAUUGAGGACUCUAUUUGAGCAUUAAGCAGCAAAGAUUUCAGCUGUAUCGUCAGGCUGGUGAGACAACAAGAUGCCAACUUUAAUGCCAAUUUCUUUGUGUAACAUACUGUGACAAAAUGUAUUGAUUACUAUUUGUAGAUUGUAAAAAUAGCUAACCCAUUUAUAAAAAAAACAAAACUAGAAUUACCGCACUGCGGUUGUAUGACUCCGCUAACCAGUGCAGUUUCU